rnacentral:rRNA from 1 species
UGUUGUUACCAUACCAGCUUAUCAAUGCCUGAUUUUGUCUGAUCUCAGAAGCUAAAUAGGUUGUGCCUGGUUAGUACUUGCACAUGCCUGAUUAGUACUUGCACAUGUUUGUACAUGUAUGUGAAGAUGAGUGAUAU